rnacentral:rRNA from 1 species
AGUGAACGCUGGCGGUAGGCCUAACACAUGCAAGUCGAACGGCAGCACAGUAAGAGCUUGCUCUUACGGGUGGCGAGUGGCGGACGGGCGAGGAAUACAUCGGAAUCUACUUUUUCGUGGGGGAUAACGUAGGGAAACUUACGCUAAUACCGCAUACGGCCUACGGGUGAAAGCAGGGGAUCUUCGGACCUUGCGCGAUUGAAUGAGCCGAUGUCGGAUUAGCUAGUUGGCGGGGUAAAGGCCCACCAAGGCGACGAUCCGUAGCUGGUCUGAGAGGAUGAUCAGCCACACUGGAACUGAGACACGGUCCAGACUCCUACGGGAGGCAGCAGUGGGGAAUAUUGGACAAUGGGCGCAAGCCUGAUCCAGCCAUACCGCGUGGGUGAAGAAGGCCUUCGGGUUGUAAAGCCCUUUUGUUGGGAAAGAAAAGCAGCAGGUUAAUACCCCGCUGUUCUGACGGUACCCAAAGAAUAAGCACCGGCUAACUUCGUG